rnacentral:rRNA from 1 species
AGUGAACGCUGGCGGUAGGCCUAACACAUGCAAGUCGAACGGCAGCACAGUAGGAGCUUGCUCUUACGGGUAGCAAGUGGCGGACGGGUGAGGAAUACAUCGGAAUCUACUUUUUCGUGGGGGAUAACGCAGGGAAACUUACGCUAAUACCGCAUACGACCUACGGGUGAAAGCAGGGGAUCUUCGGACCUUGCGCGAUUGAAUGAGCCGAUGUCGGAUUAGCUAGUUGGCGGGGUAAAGGCCCACCAAGGCGACGAUCCGUAGCUGGUCUGAGAGGAUGAUCAGCCACACUGGAACUGAGACACGGUCCAGACUCCUACGGGAGGCAGCAGUGGGGAAUAUUGGACAAUGGGCGCAAGCCUGAUCCAGCCAUACCGCGUGGGUGAAGAAGGCCUUCGGGUUGUAAAGCCCUUUUGUUGGGAAAGAAAAGCAGCAGGUUAAUACCCCGCUGUUCUGACGGUACCCAAAGAAUAAGCACCGGCUAACUUCGUG